UGGAUGUCAUUGUCGCUGCGGUUCCCCAGCUGUGGCUUUGCGUUCUCUGCCCCAACAUGCAGGGAACUACACGUGCUAAAACACCCCUAUCCUGGGGACCUGUACCCCUACAACUCCACUUCUGGGGGAGAUUCUCCAGCCAAACAAAGCCGAGGCUCUGUUCAUGUCCACCCCACAGCAUUGACGGAAAACACAGCUCCGUGUGUGGACCCUAAUUGCACCCUUCAGGUGACAGGAAAUGACUGAAAAAUCAGAAGCUCUCUUUCAUGGUUUCAAAAAUAAAAGGUCUGCGGAUGCAGCCUGGUGGAGUGCUUGCCUAGCAGGUAUGAAGCCCUAGGUUCCGUCUCACAAACUGAUUGUAGCGGCACAAGCCUACAAGUCUAGCAAUGGGGAGGGGGGACACUGGAGAUUCAGAAGUUCAAGGCCAUUCUCAGCUACCCAGCGAGUACUGAACUACAUGAGACCAUCUCAAAAGAAUCAAUAAGUAAAUAGAAGGGCCACGAAGCCAGAUGAACAGGCUAUAUCAGAAAUCUAGCACUUGAACCACACAUGUUCAUUCCAAGCCAGCCUCUAACAUGGAGCCUCCAAACAUCCAACUUGUACAUUAUUAAUGCUUUAUGAAAGCACUGUCUUUCCUCCGUGCAAAGAACUUACAGAGUCCCACAAAUUAAAAGACCUAUUUGGUGAUGACUGGCGAGCCUGGGUCAGGACAGAACAGGGACACUGCAUUUGAAUGAGGAAAGGGGCCUCCACCAACAGACUUCAGAAAUGAACACGUUUUCAUUGCCACUGCAUGAACUACAAGCUAAUUACGCUUUGUUGGAAGGGAAGCAAAUUAUACUGAUUGUACAAUAAAAGCUAUUGUCAGUCUCAGUGUAUCCAUCAUGACUCCGAAAGAUGCAAAAAUAUUGACUGGCUCGAAAUAGCAUUUUACUUUUCUCUCUAGGCAGCAAUUUUUA